UACGAAGGGUGCAAGCGUUACUCGGAAUCACUGGGCUUAAAGCGUGUGUAGGCGGCCUUCUAAGUGCCUUGUGAAAUCCCCGGGCUCAACCCGGGAACUGCGUCCGAUACUGGAAGGCUUGAAUCCGGGAGAGGGAUGCGGAAUUCCAGGUGUAGCGGUGAAAUGCGUAGAUAUCUGGAGGAACACCGGUGGCGAAGGCGGCAUCCUGGACCGGUAUUGACGCUGAGGCGCGAAAGCCAGGGGAGCAAACGGG
rnacentral:rRNA from 1 species